rnacentral:rRNA from 1 species
GCCUGAUCCAGCCAUGCCGCGUGUGUGAAGAAGGCCUUAGGGUUGUAAAGCACUUUCAGGGGUGAGGAAGGGUAACUGGCUAAUAUCCAGUUAUCUUGACGUUAGCCCCAGAAGAAGCACCGGCUAACUCUGUGCCAGCAGCCGCGGUAAUA